rnacentral:rRNA from 1 species
CGGCGAAAGCCGGAUUAAUACCGCAUACGAUCUACGGAAGAAAGCGGGGGAUCUUCGGACCUCGCGCUAUAGGGGCGGCCGAUGGCAGAUUAGCUAGUUGGUGGGGUAAAGGCCUACCAAGGCGACGAUCUGUAGCUGGUCUGAGAGGACGACCAGCCACACUGGGACUGAGACACGGCCCAGACUCCUACGGGAGGCAGCAGUGGGGAAUUUUGGACAAUGGGGGAAACCCUGAUCCAGCAAUGCCGCGUGUGUGAAGAAGGCCUUCGGGUUGUAAAGCACUUUUGUCCGGAAAGAAAACUUCGGGGCUAAUACCUCUGGAGGAUGACGGUACCGGAAGAAUAAGCACC